rnacentral:rRNA from 1 species
UACGUAGGGGGCAAGCGUUGUUCGGAAUUACUGGGCGUAAAGGGCGCGUAGGCGGCCUGCUAAGUCGAACGUGAAAUCCCUGGGCUCAACCCAGGAACUGCGUCCGAUACUGGUUGGCUUGAAUCCGGGAGAGGGACGUGGAAUUCCAGGUGUAGCGGUGAAAUGCGCAGAUAUCAGGAGGAACACCGGUGGCGAAGGCGGCUCACUGGACUGGUAUUGACGCUGAGGUGCGAAAGCGUGGGGAGCAAACAGG